AAACAUCAACCAAACUCAACCUGUGCAUAAAUAUAAACAUAACUUUGAUCCCUCUGUGGGAUCUCAUCUGUGCCCUCAAAGGGUAACAUAACCUGUGUUGAGCUGGUUUACAUAAACAUCAUCAAAAUCUCUAAGAUCAUGUAUAAAAAGGGAUACAACAUUCUAUGGUCAAGCACACACUAACAUCCAUAAAACUCAUUACAUAACUAUACUGUACUUUUACAUUACAAUCCGAUCAUGUCCAUUGCUAGCUAUUACAUAAACAUGACUUCUUUACUCUAUCCGGACUCCCGCACUAUACUGUACCUGCAAGCCUGGGGGUAAAGGGAGAGGGGUGAGCUAAAAGCCCAGUGAGCUGAACUAUUAAAACACUUUAAUACUAUGCUCUAUGAAAUGCAUCAUAACACAAACAAUUCACAUAAGGGUUGGGUGAACUUGUCACCAAUUAGUCCAAGUUAACUCUGUGCCAGGCCUGUAGAAUGGGGUCCUGGUCUUUCCUGUCAGAACAUACAUUACUUACCAUUUUCCCAGGGCCUCCUCUGGCUCCUGGUCUUCAAGUCCCAUAGCCGUACUAGACCAUAGGAUGGGAUCCUGGUCUUUCCUUACUCUGUGCCAGGCCUGUAGACUGGGGCCUGGUCUUUCUUACUCUGUGCCAGGCCUGUAGCAUGGGGCCUGG
rnacentral:lncRNA from 1 species